rnacentral:lncRNA from 1 species
AGAUGUUUCGAGAGCCAGUCUUGGAAAUGAAGAAGAGCUCAUUGCCUCAAACACUGCUAAAGUGGGUGCUGUUCACAAUGAACCCCAUUACCAUCAGACCCCCCACUCUCCAACUGUAUGCUUCCUUUCCCUUUCCCCUUCUUCAAUUUUAUUUUAUUUAUUUUUGUAUGGUAUUUAAACAUGCAUUUUUUCUUUUUCUUUUCUUUUUUUUUGUCAAACGAUAGAUUUUAUUAGCUUAGAUGUUAAAUUAGCCACCAAUGGGUUCAAACCAACGCCAUCAUACAAGCCUCAACUCUUUUCAACUACUGCAUAUAUGUUAGGAAUAUAUUCCAUUCUGAGAGAGUUGAAAAAGCACUAUCUCGUUAAAAGGUUCUAUACAUUCACCAUUUCUCAAGACAUUUUUUUAGACAAAGAUCUCGUUUUUUCCUCUUUUUGGAUGGUAAAUAUUUCUCAAAACAUGGAUUGUGAAUCAAACGCAUGUUUGAAUUGAAAUUAAUACUGAUGCAAGUUCUUUCCUUCUGAAUCAGACAAAUUCAUAUUUAAAAGAGGUUGACAAUAAGUUUUUUUCAAAAUUGACUAUACGUGGUAAAUGGCCACUUGCAUUAACCAUGCAAUUAUUGAAUAUACAAAUAGCAGGAGGAGGAGUUGGUGUCGUUACGAAUUAUGAGCAGUAUAAAGUUAUGAUAGAGGCAUGCAUAUGCUAUUUCUGCAUACUGAAAGGAUGUGUGGGGAUUGGGGAGUGGACUACCCUUUUAUUAAACCAGUUGAGUCGGCAAUGUAGGUGAGUCGGUAGCAACUGUCUAAUAUAGUAUUGACUUUUCAUUUACAACUUUUCUUCAAUAGUGUACAUAGUAACGACUGGCACGAGAAAUGAAUGAUUAAGAUUGAUUCAUCUGAAGAAUUUUUGGUUUUGUAGUUAUUAUAUUUAAAGAAGAAAAUCACCAGAUUUGGUUAAGGAGGAGAAAUUUUUCAAUUUGACCGGUACA